GAUUGAUUAGCAUAUUAAUGCAUUUAGCUUCGACCUAAAAAAAGGUCCAUUACCAUCAUUCA
rnacentral:tRNA from 1 species